rnacentral:tRNA from 1 species
GAGGGUAGAGCUCAGUGGUAGAGCACAUGCUUAGCCUGAACGAGGUCCUGGGUUCAACCCCCAGUACCUCCA